UAACUGAAGAGUUUGAUCAUGGCUCAGAUUGAACGCUGGCGGCAGGCUUAACACAUGCAAGUCGAGCGGGGGAAGGUAGCUUGCUACCGGACCUAGCGGCGGACGGGUGAGUAAUGCUUAGGAAU
rnacentral:rRNA from 1 species